rnacentral:rRNA from 1 species
UCGAGAAUCUUCCACAAUGGACGAAAGUCUGAUGGAGCGACGCCGCGUGAUUGAUGAAGUCCUUAGGGACGUAAAGAUCUUUUAUGAGGGAAGAAGUUUAUUGACGGUACCUCAUGAAUAAGGGGCUCCUAAUCUCGUGCCAGCAGGAGCGGUAAUACGAGAGCCCCGAGCGUUAUCCGGAAUUAUUGGGCGUAAAGGGUGCGUAGGUGGUUUUGUUAGUCGAUUGUUAAAUACCCGAGCUUAACUUGGGGACUGCACUCGAAACGGCAAGACUUAGAAUGAAGGAGAGGUGUGCGGAACUCAUGGUGUAGGGGUGAAAUCCGUUGAUAUCAUGGGGAACACCAAAAGCGAAAGCAGCACACUGGCCUUUUAUUGACACUGAUGCACGAAAGCGUGGGUAGCGAAUGGG